rnacentral:rRNA from 1 species
AUACAUAGGGUGCGAGCGUUGUCCGGAAUUACUGGGCGUAAAGAGCUCGUAGGUGGUUCGUCGCGUCGUCUGUGAAAUUCCGGGGCUUAACUCCGGGCGUGCAGGCGAUACGGGCAUAACUUGAGUACUGUAGGGGAGACUGGAAUUCCUGGUGUAGCGGUGAAAUGCGCAGAUAUCAGGAGGAGCACCGGUGGCGAAGGCGGGUCUCUGGGCAGUAACUGACGCUGAGGAGCGAAAGCAUGGGUAGCGAACAGGAUUAGAUACCCUGGUAGUCCAUGCCGUAAACGGUGGGCGCUAGGUGUAGGGGUCUUCCACGACUUCUGUGCCGUAGCUAACGCAUUAAGCGCCCCGCCUGGGGAGUACGGCCGCAAGGCUAAAACUCAAAGGAAUUGACGGGG